AUGCAAGUCGAGCGCGCCUUCGGGCGAGCGGCGGAUGGGUUAGUAACGCGUGGGAACGUGCCCAGAUCUACGGAAUAGCCACUGGAAACGGUGAGUAAUACCGUAUACGCCCUUCGGGGGAAAGAUUUAUCGGAUUUGGAUCGGCCCGCGUUAGAUUAGGUAGUUGGUGGGGUAACGGCCUACCAAGCCUACGAUCUAUAGCUGGUUUUAGAGGAUGAUCAGCAACACUGGGACUGAGACACGGCCCAGACUCCUACGGGAGGCAGCAGUGGGGAACCUUGGACAAUGGGGGCAACCCUGAUCCAGCCAUGCCGCGUGAGUGAAGAAGGCCCUAGGGUCGUAAAACUCUUUCGCCUGUGAUGAUAAUGACAGUAGCAGGUAAAGAAACCCCGGCUAACUCCGUGCCAGCAGCCGCGGUAAUACGGAGGGGGUUAGCGUUGUUCGGAAUUACUGGGCGUAAAGCGCACGUAGGCGGAUUAGAAAGUUAGAGGUGAAAUCCCGGGGCUCAACCCCGGAACUGCCUUUAAAACUAUUAGUCUAGAGUUCGAGAGAGGUGAGUGGAAUUCCGAGUGUAGAGGUGAAUUCGUAGAUAUUCGGAGGGAACACCAGUGGCGAGGGCGGCUCACUGGCUCGAUACUGACGCUGAGGUGCGGAAGUGUGGGGAGCAAACAGGAAUAGAUACCCUGGUAGUCCACACCGUAAACGAUGAAUGCCAGUCGUCGGAUAGUAUACUAUUCGGUGGACACCACCUAACGGAUUAAGCAUUCCGCCUGGGGAGUACGGUCGCAAGAUUAAAACUCAAAG
rnacentral:rRNA from 1 species